UGCUUGUGUAUUUAAAUGGGUGUGGUGCUAAGUAUAUCUUGUUUACCUUAUCUGUGGAAAAGUUUUGAAGUCUGGUUAGGUUUGUCAUAUCACGCCUGUUGCCUAGCACUACGAAAAUUGUUCUUAUCUAAGCAGAAAAGAUUGGAUAGGUGGAGGUCGUGGCUUGGC
rnacentral:lncRNA from 1 species